rnacentral:tRNA from 1 species
GGGGAGAUACUCAAGCGGCCAACGAGGACAGACUGUAANUCUGUUGGUNNUUAGNCUUCGCAGGUUCGAAUCCUGCUCUCCCCA